rnacentral:misc_RNA from 1 species
UCGUACCAUAGAGGUGCUUGGGUUGUCGCUAACCUUUGAAACAAAGGUUGUGCACGCCCAGAGCACUCUCUCAUAUCCAUCUCACCCCUUUGUGCAUUGCCGCGUGGGUCUCCUUGAGGGGCCUGCGUUUUUACAUAGACACCCUUUGAAUGCAUGUGUAGAAUGCCUUACUUUAUAAUCAAUA